UUUCACUCUAGCGAGACUGCCGGUAAUAAACCGGAGGAAGGUGGGGAUGACGUCAAAUCAUCAUGCCCCUUAUGACCUGGGCUACACACGUGCUACAAUGGCUGGUACAACAAGUCGCAAGCCGGUGACGGCAAACUAAUCUCUGAAAGCCAGUCUCAGUUCGGAUUGUAGGCUGCAACUCGCCUACAUGAAGUCGGAAUCGCUAGUAAUCGCGGAUCAGCACGCCGCGGUGAAUACGUUCCCGGGCCUUGUACACACCGCCCGUCACACCACGAGAGUUUGUAACACCCGAAGUCGGUGAGGUAACCGUAAGGAGCCAGCCGCCUAAGGUGGGAUAGAUGAUUGGGGUGAAGUCGUAACAAGGGUAACCGUAA
rnacentral:rRNA from 1 species